CAGGUAUAGAAGAUUCCUACUGGACAACUGAUGUAAUCAUUUCAGCACACAGUGAUAGCAUGAAAUGGUUUCAUCCAGAACAACUUCAAAGCUCCAAGCUGAGAGGGUCCAGCCUCACAGACUACUCCAGCCAGGACUUCAGAUUGUUGCCAAAAAAGAAGACUCAAGUAACCUCUUCACCUCCUGUGGAGGACAUUCUCACAGGGUAGCUGUCAUGUCCAGAUCCAUCAACACCACUGCCUUACCUCUGGGCAAAUGUCAUCCUUAUUUUUUUGUAUUCCUCUUUCAUUUGCUGUGGAGUGGAAAUUC